UCAUUAAUCUGUACGCUGUAAAAAAUGGUAGCAGCAACGCGUCGGAGGAAAUGUUCCAAAACGAAGUCGUGGAAACGAUACCUGACAUAAUGGAGCCGCUGGUCUCGGUUCUCCUAGUAGUAGAGGACGAUGAAAACGAA